rnacentral:lncRNA from 1 species
AGAAGAAGAGAGACAGUGAAAAGGCACUCGACAGAUGUUGGUGAGACUUUAUUUCUGGAAAUGCAUUAAAGGUCACUCACAUUCUAGCCACAAAUAUAAACCUGAUUUUAGAUAGAAUUUAAAUGAGAUUAAUAACUCCAGCUACUUGCAGCCUACAGUCCUGUAUAUUUCACACUAAACUGUGAUGCAGCCUGAAUCAUAAUCACACCAUGUUCAUUUAUUAGUCAGAGAGGAACUGAUCCCUCUAAACUUUCUCCCACUUUAUAUUUUUAUUUUUUAUUUCAUUCUGUCACCUGAUGGUGUUUGUGUUCCUUGCCACCAUUGACUUUUGGCAUGCUCAUUUGUGAACAUAUAAUAUUCAGUAAUAUUAUUGGAUAUAUAUUAUAUAUUGGAUGAGGACUGAACUGAGCCAGAUGAAGUCAACACUGAUUUCAACUGAACACUGACACUUUUACUGUUCAGAGCUGCUUCACAGCAGACGUGAAUUCUGUUUGCCUCAUUAUUUAUCUUUUUAUCACUGUAAAGUUAUUAAAAAUAUAUCUACAAUAUACUGAAUAUACACAAAAAUAGAAUAAAGCUGGAUUUUUUGUUUUUUUUUACAGCACUGUACACCAGCAUUUGUUCAGUAGUGUGACAUUAAUGUGUGGAAAUUGACAUUUUUUUAGUGGGUGAUUGCUAUUUUCAGGAAAAUGCACUGGUAACAACUAAAAAAAGAAGACCAAAAAUAUAAUUCAACAGAAGAUGAUGGCUGUGGUGAAACAAGCGCUCAAAUAAUGGUGAGCAAUAAUCUACUACAUUUAUUUGAUAUUUUAUACUAUUAUCUAUAUAGUUUAGAAUAUGUAAUAACUGAUAUUGUAUUUCAGGAUCAAAUACCUGUGGGAGUGCUGGAGAAAUCAAGUGUACCAAGUCCUCUGUCUCCUCAGCCAUAAAUGCAUGUUAUUGUGCAAGAGGUAGUGCAUGGACUAUCAGUGGACGGACAGAAAGCUCUGAGAUUUCAUUAUAAAGAUCUUCAUUUGUGUUCUGAAGAUGAACGAAAGACUUGCAGGUUUGGGACGACAUGAGGGUGAGUAAUUGAUGACAGAUUUGGGUGAACCAACCUUUUAACUUCUUUUACCUGGAGUGUUCAAAGACAUUGAGUACCUUUAUAUUGACAACAAUCAUCCGAUUUUAACCCUAUUAAGACAAUACUCUUAUUUAAGAUCUACCAUGUACACAGAGAUUUGAACUAUGAACAAGCCUUUAACAUGUAAAACAGGAACAUGAAAGAAAUAUUCUUAAAACAUCUUAAUCAUAAUAUUGUCUUAUUUAAAAUAAGGUAAAUAAUUAGAUUACUGAUGUCCAUGUAAACGUAGUCAUUAUUAAUGCUGACCAAUAUGCCAUAAGAAAUGAACUGGGAAUGGUAUGAAUACUUUUCACAAACACUUGAUGACAUCACAAUUCAAGAUUUAUUUUAUGCAUUACUAAAUAUACCUGUAGUGAAAAGUGUAAAUGAAACUUGAGAAUUUCUGAUAGUUUUUGUUAGUUUGUUUUUCCAGACUACAUCCAAAAUAGUGUUUCCACAUCUGAGAUAAAGUCAAUCAUAAGAACAAAGCAGAACGAUGAGGAUAAGCGCUUCAAAAAAUGAAACCUGCCUAAUAGAGGAAGAAAUAGUGCAUGAUAUUGUAAUAAACACCGAGUACAUUUAGUGUAACUCUCAGUCUGUUAUUUUAAGUUUAAGAAAGUAAAAUAGUUUAUUGUUGCAUUGCUGUUUGAGACAUUCACUGUUGUUUUUGUACCUUAAUUCAUUAUAUUGCAGAUGUGUGCAAAUAAACUUAUUUUGAAUAUUCUGGUUGCAUUUCAGUGUCAUUUUAUUAGUAUUGGACUUCAGUUGUAUUAUAUAUUGCAGUACUACUGCAGAUUUAUUGCAGCAUAAUAACUGUAGUACUACUUCAGCUGUAUUGCAGUAAUACUGCAGUUCUGUUGCAGUUGUUUGUUAAUAAUACUACAGUUCUACUGCAGUUGUAUUUCAAUAGUACUUCAGAUGAAUUGCAGUAAAGCCGCAAUAAUGCAGUUUUUUCGUGUCCAAAAAAUGCAUUUUUCUACAAGUAACAAAAACUGCAGUAAUUUUCUGUAAGGGUAAAGCCCUCCCUACACCUAUUUUAACCCUACCCAAUACUUUAUUUUCAACUUUUUGAUUAUAUUCUUCAUUUUUAUUGAAAAUAAAUGCUUUUCUGAUGUGAUCUGAAAUUUGAAAAGGGAGAAAAAAAGUUCGCCAAAAGGCAGAUUCGAAGCGUCAGCUGAAUGUUAAAGAGAGCAAGAUAAGAUGAAGCUGAAAAUCAUUUAAUAUUAGUCAACUUUUAACCAUACGUUUUAUGAUAGAAAUGACCGACAGCUAUAUCCAGUGAUGCAAAAUUCUCUCAAAUAUGGCCAUUUUGAGAGAGAGAGAGAAACUGAGCGAUAUUAAUAUUAGAAAAGGUUCAAUUCUGCACGCUUAUGCAAACAUGUUAUUGUGAGUCUUUUAUGUGAUGGUUUAAGAUAUCUCAGCGUCAUCACUCAAAUAUCACAAAGCAGACACUUUAAUGAGUUUUAACAUCAGAAACACAUUAAUAAUUCAGGAUCAAACUCUCAGUACAGCUACAGAAGCUCGUGUUCUCUGUUUAAAUCUUUAUUUUCUCCUUUAGUAUUUAUUUGGACAGAAAAGAAUCCGAACCUCAACUACAAGCAGCUUCAUCUCUAGAGCUCGAGAUCAGUUUAAUCCUGAAGAUGAACUCGACACACGACAGAGAAAAACUACGAGAAUAUGAACUAGAGCAGAAGCCGAGAAUGAACCUACCUUAAUGUAACGGUUGUUAAAUUUUUUAUAAGUCUUCAAAACUUUCGCAUUUUCCUGUCGAGUUUACUCUCGUGCGCGGAAACCUCUUCUUCUCCUGUGAGCUGCAGCAAUGUUAAAAGCGCACUGCUGCCCUCCUCAAUCCGUUUGAAGAACUCCGCUAGUCUUCAAAACUUUCGCAUUUCCUGUCGAGUUUACUCUCGUGCGCGGAAACCUCUUCUUCUCCUGUGAGCUGCAGCAAUGUUAAAAGCGCACUGCUGCCCUCCUCAAUCCGUUUGAAGAACUCCGCUUAGUGGCUGAUCUCCUCAGAUCAAGUCCAGUUCGGUGUAAAAGUUAAUAACAGCUUGUUGUUGUUGAUAGUGCAGCGCUUAGAAUCAGUGUUAAAGUGAGCGAUGGGUUCUGUGACGGAGGCAGCAAUGUUGAGGUGCUUCAUGAGCCUCAGAAACACUAUCAUGAUGUUCAUUCUCUUAAAGCUGUACAGAUGUAUUCUGUCUGCUGUGAGAUGUGAUAUAUUUAUGAUAUGAUAUGAUAUUAUAGAUGUAAUUAACACAGUGGAGAUUAAUUAAUUUACACAAUGUAUAUAGCAUUUCAAUGUAUAUAGCAUUUCUUAUUUAUUCGUUUUUUGGUCCUACUGCUUUGCAACUUAUCCUUAUUUCAUCACUGACUGUUUAUCUUCAGUGAGCUUGAGUUUAUUUUUUUCUGUCCUUUUUAGGCUUGUAUAGUUUGAUAUUGACAUUGGUGACAAGUAUUUUGAAAAUUCUAUUGUAUCAAAGAUUUUAAUAUAAAAACCUUUUUAAAAGAAAAAAAUAUAUCGUGAUAUGUAUAGUUAUCAUGAUAUAAAAUUAAUCAUAUUGUGAUAUUUUGGUCGGAUCGCCCAUCCCUAAUAAACAUGAUGACCCAUA